ensembl:lncRNA
GUUCUCUUCUCAGCAACUCUACCUCCUUACCUCUCUUUGACCUCCUUUAAGUCCACAGCCUGGCCCUUGACUUCACGGACCCGUCUUACCUUUCUUCACCUGGAAUGUCCUGCCCUUUCUUGGGGUCUCCUUUACCCCCUCCUCUCUGGUCCCAUCCCUUCUGCUGGCAAGCCCCAGCUUUCCUCCACGGCUCGGCCUGGUCAGCUCGAACCUCAUCUUGUUGGCUCGCCCUGGGCAGGAGGGGACCGUAUGGUGCAAAGUGGGGCCAGAACUACCCCUGGAGUAGACCCCUGCCUUGCCCCCACCGCCCCUCCCAAGCCCUGGUUGCGGCGCUUCCUGGGCGGAUGGUUUGGACUUGCUGCGGCAGCUGCGGUUCUGCUGUGUCAUGCAAGAAGGAGGCGGCGGCGGCGGCGGCCGGAGCUGGAGGGGGAGGAGGGGAGGAACCUGAUCCUCGGUAGCCAAGGGCUGGAGGCAAACACCGAGCUCCCCCUGAGCCGCCCGGGAGCAGGGAGGGCUCUGCUACCCCGAGGGGCCCUCCCCGCGGGGCAGAGGGGUUCAACUGACUCAGCUUUUGACUGGUCCCAUGGAAGGCUGCCCUGGAAAGACGUUAAAGGUUUGGAAACACAAAACAGGAAAAGACAUUUCAGAAUGGUUAAAUGAAAUCCUGGUCGAUACAUGCCUAAAAAAGAGACAAAGAAUGGUCUCAGCAGAGAGGAAGGAGGACCGGAGCCAGAGACAACACCAGAAUAAAGGGCUAGCCCAUCUUUGGAACCUAGGCUGAGAGAGGGAUACAGACAAUGUUUUGACCUUGAUCAUGGAAGGAAUUGUUCCAGCUAUGAAUUAACAGACCUUUAGAAACCAUGAUGUACCCCAGCAAUUCACAGGCAACAUGGCAUUCCAGGGGGAGGGCCAUGUCUUUAGCUCUAGUGUCUGCUGUAUUAAUGUUGAAGAAACAUGAAACUCUGAAUGGCAGAACACUUCUGUUUCUAUUGCAAAAAAUGAUCCGGAUAUAAAGAUACUAACAGCCUUAGUCAUCCUCAUAAGCAUGCCCUACCCCCACCGCAGCUGUCCCUUCCUGAGGCCCCUAACUCCUCUUUCUUGCCCAAAGAGCAAAUCACGUGGCCCAGGCUAAGCCAGUCUGUAAAGGGCAUCCCUUAGUAACUGAUUUGGGUAUAGACAUGUGACCUAAGUUCCUCCCACCAAAGAGAAGGUCAGGACUGUUGCUGAGAAUGCUGAACCAGGAUGCUAUCCUGGAAUUGAAAGCAGAAGUGAGGACAGCGGGGCAUGCCGACAAAUGAGGCUGAUUCCUGGGUGUGAGGGAACCGAAACAGAGUCAUGAACAGAGGAACAGCAGGUACCUUUGUUCAGAGAUAUUGGUGCCAUCCCAUAUGUGGGUAUCUAUGCAUCUUUGUGUGUCCGUGUCCUUAGACUUGUGUAAUUAGUCUUGAUUCUAAACUUUGAAACAGUUCUCAUUUAUGGGAAAGAAGGGCAGGUUCAAUAUAAAGUAUGCUGUAGCUCAAGAUGAUAUCUUAUCAACUAAUGUUUUGGUCGUGAGUAACCACUUCUAUUUUUAAAGUCUCACAAAUACUUGUCUAUUCUGGAGCUCUGGCAGUACUUGAAUGUGUGAUUCUGCUUCCUGUGAGCAACAAGUCAACCUUCAGGUUGAGCGAUUCAUUGGUUUUUAGUUUAUUCACAAUAUGGAGCUACCACUGCCAAGAUCUAAUUCCAGAACAUUUCUGCCACCAGAAAGAAAACCCAGAACUUCUAUCUCUGGGUACGGGUAUAUUCAUUUCAUGUAAGUGGACUUCCACAGUGCGACCUUUGUUACUGGCCUUUUUCACUAACAUACUUCUCAAGACCCAUUCAUGAUGUUGCAAACAUCCAUCUUUCAUUCCUUUUUAUAACUGAAUAGUGUUCCAUGAUGUGAGCCUACCACAUUUGACUUACACACUCCUCAGCUGAUCUGGUUGUUCAAUUCCUUGUCUAUUAUGAAUAACGGUGCUGUGUGUGUGUGUGUUAAUAUAUUUUAUAAUUCUCCCAAGUAUAUACCCAGUGAAAUUGUCUGGUAUUGUAACUCUGUGUUUAACUUGUGUUUUGCUUUUUUUCUCCUCCAGUGUUUCAUGUAGCCCACGUUGGCCUUGAACUUGAUAUAUAGCCAAAGCUGGCUUUGAACAUCUGGUCCUCCUUCCUCUGCCCCCUGAGUGUGCAGAUUACAAACAUUAGCUUAACAAGUCAACUUUGAUCACACUGUAUUACUUUAGUUCCUCAUUAUUUGGAAAAUACGAGAACAAAUGCCCAGGAGCGAGCAUUGUACGAGGUGUUAGAUUAGUAGUGGUUCCUCAUUCGUAGGGCUUCCUGAGUCAGUACCCUGAACGUCAUUGGUGUUUGUGGGAUAUACUCUUCACAUAGAUCUUUCCAAGGCCACUUUUUAUGUUUCUUUUCCAUAUGACAGAUGGCUGUAAUCAUGAGGAAGUUGCCUCUAAGGUAAGUGAGGGCUCAAAGUUGAACAGCCAGCUUUUCCAGGGAUUUCCCAGAGCAUCAUGGACAGUCUGCAAAAGCUCUGAGAUUAUGGAGCCCCCUGAGACUUAAUAUUCAUGCUUGUUUGUGUAUUCACUGUGUGUCUAGAACAAAGCCAGAUGCCUCACGGCUUUUCCCCAGACCCACUCUCCAUUAGUCAUAUCUGGUCAUUAAGGGCUUGAAAUGUGUUACAAGAAUGGAGAGAUGCUGUCCGGGGCUUGGAUGAGGCUGAGUUGGUAGAGUGUUUGUCUAGCAUGCACAAAGCUCCGGGUUCAAUCCUCAGUACCACAUAAAACAGGCAUGUGCCUGUGAUCCUCGCACUUGGAAAGUGGAGGAAGGAGGAGCAGGAGUUUGAGUUCAUCUUCAAAGACUCAGAGUAUAAAAUACUGUAAUAUUUUGUACAUGUUAAGUAACCUAUAGUAUGAAAAUUAAAUACACCUGUUAGCUUUCUACUUUUUUAAAACCAGCUACUCAAAAAUUUAAAUCAUAUGUGUGGCUCUCAAUGUGGCUUAUGUUCUAUUUAUAUUGGACAGCCCUUGUUCUAGAUCAUUCCUCAUGGUAGUUUGGUCAGCUGGACGGUAUUAUCAUUUCUACAUUAUUGGUGAGGAAAUUGAGGCUUAGAGAACUUAAGUAAAUUGCCUGUGAUCACACAGCUGUGGCUUAAGUGCGACUCUGUCUCCAAGCCUCAACUCUUAGCUAUUAUUCUAUACCCUUUACCCCCAAGUGCAGAAACACAAGCCUGUCCUAUACAAGCAGUUACGAUCUUUAACUAUGGCAAAAAAAAAAAAAAAAAAAAAAAAAAAAAAAAAAAAAAAAAAAAAAAAAAAAAAAAAAAAAAAAAAAAAAAAAAAACUGUUUCCAUAUCUAGAGAGCAGGAGGAAAAACAAAACAAACAAACAGCAAAAGGUUUUGUUCUGCAAGGGAGAAUUGAGGAAUUAUUAGAGGAAAGUUUCUUAAAUACAAACUAUUUGUAAAGUUUGGGGUUCCCCACCCAGGAGAGGAGGGUUACGAAAUGACUUCUGAGCCUUCUUUUAUGUUCUAUUCCUAUCAGGUGCCUGCCUCUGCCUGACAGGAAUCCUAUCAAGGUGCUCUCAAGGAGUGUAUGGAAGUGACGAGAAUCCAUGCUCCCACUUCAUCUCCCCCCCCCCCACACACCGCUUGCAGGGAUGUCAAAGGCUUUCAUUUAAUUGUAUGAGCACCUCGGUGGGGCAUUCUUCAUAGCAAUCCUGCUCACCUCUCAGUUGCUGCACCCACACAUAGAGACUGGGAGGGGAGGAACAACCAACCAUUCCUGUUGUGAUCCCCACCCCACCCUGAUGCCUUCAGCCAGUCUUUAGAGUACAGGUUCACUGUCAACCAAACCUUCCCCUUCCUAAGGGCAUCUCAAGUGUCACUAAUGAAGUCUCAGGCCUGCUUCAUUAAUGCUAGCUGUUACUAGUUUUUCAAUCUACAACUUAACUUUAUUCUCAUUUAACAUGUAGUUGCAUGUAGCAUGUUUUGUGAGUGUAAUUUACUUGUUUAAUUUCACAUUUCAACACACACUGGCCCUUUAGAUGUGUUUUCCUAGUUUGGAAGUCGGGAUGACUAGAGUAAUUGGGAAUGAGACUUGGCCACAGAGCCUCAUCCCCAAGUCAUAUCUUAGGGACUAGAAGCUUUACUGGGAGUUAUUAAAAAAAAAAAGGAAGGAAAACUCAAAACACACUUAUUUUUCCUCUUUUCUUUAUUUCCUUGGACUACAAGUUUAUACCAAGAAACAUGACGAUUUAAUGGCUAUAAGAUGCAACUCAAACACCAAACUCUUGUAGAGUUUCUUGAGGGCUACUGGCCUUUGUUGCUGUUGUUCACUGUUUACUUUUUAAUUCAAAUUCUAAGUCAGAUGUUCAUACUGACUUUAAUAGCGACAUGGAAAAUAAAUUCCAGCCUUUGGUUUGUUUCAUUUUUUUUUCUUUCUGCCUAGUCAUUCUGACUUAAAAUCCCACAGCUGUUUCAGAUACAGCUCAGCUGAAAUGACAGUGGACCGUGGCAAGAAGCCAGAGAAAGGGAAGACUGUUGAGAAAGGUGUGUAGGGC